AGUGAACGCUGGCGGUAGGCCUAACACAUGCAAGUCGAACGGCAGCACAGUAAGAGCUUGCUCUUACGGGUGGCGAGUGGCGGACGGGUGAGGAAUACAUCGGAAUCUACUUUUUCGUGGGGGAUAACGUAGGGAAACUUACGCUAAUACCGCAUACGACCUACGGGUGAAAGCAGGGGAUCUUCGGACCUUGCGCGAUUGAAUGAGCCGAUGUCGGAUUAGCUAGUUGGCGGGGUAAAGGCCCACCAAGGCGACGAUCCGUAGCUGGUCUGAGAGGAUGAUCAGCCAAAAUGGAACUGGGGCACGGUCCAGACUCCUACGGGAGGGAGCAGGUGGGAAUUAUUGGAAAUGGGCGGAAGCCUGACGCAGGCACGCCGGGUGGGUGGAGAAGGGCUUCGGGGUGGAAAACCCUUUUUGUAGGGAAGAAAAAGAGGCAGGUUAAUACCCCGCGGUUUUACGGGACCCAAAAAAAAAGCCACGGGUAACUUCGGG
rnacentral:rRNA from 1 species